AGUCUAUGACUAGGUCGACUGGUGAUGCUAUGAUUGGACUGAAAGUGAUUCCAUGUUUUGCACGCUGAUAGGACCCCGUGGAUUUGGGUCUUACAUUGUUGGUCCACGGAGCCGAUUUCUACUAUACAUUU